rnacentral:rRNA from 1 species
CCCUUAGAUGUUCUGGGCCGCACGCGCGCUACACUGAACAGUUCAACAAGUCUUAACCUUGGCCGAUAGGUCUGGGUAAUCUUUGAACGCUGUUCGUGAUUGGGAUAGACCUUUGCAAUUAUGGGUCUUCAACGAGGAAUUCCUAGUAAACGCAAGUCAUCAGCUUGCAUUGAUUACGUCCCUGCCCUUUGUACACACCGCCCGUCGCGCCUACCGAUUGAAUGGUCCGGUGAAAUCUCGGGACGGCGGCUUGGUCGCUUGCGUCCGACUGCUGAAACUUGAUUAAACCAUAUCAUUUAGAGGAAGGUGAAGUCGUAACA